UAUGGGGGGGGGUAAGCGUUGUUCGGAAUUACUGGGCGUAAAGGGCUCGUAGGCGGCCAACUAAGUCGGAUGUGAAAUCCCCAGGCUUAACCUGGGAACUGCAUCCGAUACUGGAUGGCUUGAAUUCGGGAGAGGGAUGCAGAAUUCCAGGUGUAGCGGUGAAAUGCGUAGAUAUCUGGAGGAAUACCGGUGGCGAAGGCGGCAUCCUGGACCGAGAUUGACGCUGAUGAGCGAAAGCUAGGGGAGCAAACGGG
rnacentral:rRNA from 1 species